rnacentral:misc_RNA from 1 species
AGAAGCUGCACCAUGUCCAUGUCACCCACGGUCAUCAUCCUGGCAUGUCUUGGGUUCUUCUUGGACCAGAGUGUGUGGGCACACGUGGGUGGUCAGGACAAGCCCUUCUGCUCUGCCUGGCCCAGCGCUGUGGUGCCUCAAGGAGGACACGUGACUCUUCGGUGUCACUAUCGUCGUGGGUUUAACAUCUUCACGCUGUACAAGAAAGAUGGGGUCCCUGUCCCUGAGCUCUACAACAGAAUAUUCUGGAACAGUUUCCUCAUUAGCCCUGUGACCCCAGCACACGCAGGGACCUACAGAUGUCGAGGUUUUCACCCGCACUCCCCCACUGAGUGGUCGGCACCCAGCAACCCCCUGGUGAUCAUGGUCACAGGUCUAUAUGAGAAACCUUCGCUUACAGCCCGGCCGGGCCCCACGGUUCGCGCAGGAGAGAACGUGACCUUGUCCUGCAGCUCCCAGAGCUCCUUUGACAUCUACCAUCUAUCCAGGGAGGGGGAAGCCCAUGAACUUAGGCUCCCUGCAGUGCCCAGCAUCAAUGGAACAUUCCAGGCCGACUUCCCUCUGGGUCCUGCCACCCACGGAGAGACCUACAGAUGCUUCGGCUCUUUCCAUGGAUCUCCCUACGAGUGGUCAGACCCGAGUGACCCACUGCCUGUUUCUGUCACAGACUCUGAUGAACAAGACCCUCAGGAGGUGACAUACGCACAGUUGGAUCACUGCAUUUUCACACAGAGAAAAAUCACUGGCCCUUCUCAGAGGAGCAAGAGACCCUCAACAGAUACCAGCGUGUGUAUAGAACUUCCAAAUGCUGAGCCCAGAGCGUUGUCUCCUGCCCAUGAGCACCACAGUCAGGCCUUGAUGGGAUCUUCUAGGGAGACAACAGCCCUGUCUCAAACCCAGCUUGCCAGCUCUAAUGUACCAGCAGCUGGAAUCUGAAGGCGUGAGUCUCCAUCUUAGAGCAUCACUCUUCCUCACACCACAAAUCUGGUGCCUGUCUCUUGCUUACCAAUGUCUAAGGUCCCCACUGCCUGCUGCAGAGAAAACACACUCCUUUGCUUAGCCCACAAUUCUCUAUUUCACUUGACCCCUGCCCACCUCUCCAACCUAACUGGCUUACUUCCUAGUCUACUUGAGGCUGCAAUCACACUGAGGAACUCACAAUUCCAAACAUACAAGAGGCUCUCUCUUAACACGGCACUUAGACACGUGCUGUUCCACCUUCCCUCGUGCUGUUCCACCUUUCCUCAGACUAUUUUUCAGCCUUCUGGCAUCAGCAAACCUUAUAAAAUUUUUUUGAUUUCAGUGUAGUUCUCUCCUCUUCAAAUAAACAUGUCUGCCUUCA